GCAAAAACAAACCUAAAUGUUGGCACCGUGGCUAUACGCAGAAGCGAGACCCCAUCUACGGAGGAAGCCAGACUGAUCCGUGCCAAGUUCCACCCACUUUGGAUUACACAUCACACAGAUCGACUGAUGCAGGUCUCGACUAAAUGAGUCAUGCUGACUUGCAGACUCAGCAAGGGUCCAUCCCAGCCCUGGCUUUAUCCCAAACACGGCAAGGAGAGGAAAGGGAGAGAGGGGGCCAUGCCAUCUUGAGCCACUUGACUCGGUUUCUGGAACUGCCUGAGACCGAGCCAUUGUUUUCAUCCUGCAACUUUGGUUUUGAUCAACCUUGUAGUUGCUACUGUAAUAUGGCUGGGAUAGGACAUGCUUGUGCCUUCACACAAUCUCCAGACCAACCUAACUGAAGGAAGCUCCUUUUAGUGGGUCUACUGAUCACACAGUAUUGGGAUUGGUGCUUCCAUCUGAUCAGAUUCCUGCCCUGUUGUAUUUAGUCAGGAUGGCUACAUGUUGCUGCUCUCCACACUAUGACCAUCUGUUGUAGGCGUGGGUUCCAAUUCCUCUCAGUUUGGCUAGCUAAAACAACCCAGAACUGAAUUCAAGAGAAUGUAACUGUAUGAAAAAUAUUUCUGAAUGAAUUGCAAAUUGCAUUUCGACAAACUGAAGCUCAGUUGUGUUCAGUUCUAUCAGUUGCGCUUUUCUAAGAAUCCAAUCUCGGUAUCAUAACCCUACAGAUCCUUUCCGACCGAUUACCCCUUACUGUCUGUUAUUUACUUCACGUGGUCUCAGGAGAGGAGAGUGCUGGGAAAAGACUGGGUGGGAGCCGCUAAAAGCUAGAUCACGACAUACUAAAGUGCUGGAGAGGGAAAAGAAUCAAACACUCUGGCAGGGCAAACAGAAGCAGCAUGUCCCUACUUGUCAAAAGCGGUGGGGCUGUUCUUUGCAGCUGAGUGGAUAUUUAAUAUGAAAGGCUCUUCCUCCAAAGUUCGAACAUUCUUCAGAACGGUCUGUACUCGUCUGUCCAGAGAGUUAUGUUCAACCUUACUCCACCGCUACUGACCGGCGCGAGGAACAACAAUGGAAAAGCCAGACACAGUCCCCUUGUCCUUUCUUCUUUUGCUGUCUCCUGAAGAAAUGAAAGAGGAAAAAAAGUCUGGUAACUGACAACCUGUCUUUCUGUGUUUGCAUGUCCUUGAAUAAUUUAUAGGGCCCCAGUUUUCCCCGGAGCCACAGACAUGUUCGGCUAGACAUCUCCCACACUAAGGCUUACCAAAGAAAAGGAGAGGAAAGAUCCGGAAAAUCUGCCAUUCCCUGGCAAAUCCUCAGAAUAAACUGCCAUUAACUGCAGACUGGGUCCUGACUGCUUGUAGCUGCUGACCAAGCAGGUGUGGGUCUGGAUCAUUUCAUAGGCAUCUUUACAUAACACCAUUGUGUGAAUCACAGAGCCCACAUGGGAGACAUGAGGCGAGAUGUCACUUAGCCUUUCACUCUGGAGAGACUGAGAUUCAAAACAAGCGUGACAGAGACUUUGGAUCCUCUGUUCUGGAUGGCCAACUACAAUGUCUCCAUCAUCAUUUGUCCUUCCUUUAUUAUCUGUCCUCUAUCACCUCUUUUAGCACCACAGUAUAGCUGGAUGUUAUGUUUAUUGCUGUAAAAUUGUUCUUUUUUUUCUCUCUGUCCUCUUCAUUUCUUAUGGAU
ensembl:lncRNA